UAUAGGAUAGCAUAGUGGUAACACUCCUGCCCUUCGCACAGGAGACUGGGGUUCGAAUCCUCGUCAAAUUA